GGGAAGGAGCGGAGCCGAGCCCGGCCGACGCGGCUUUGUCUCCUUUGUUCCCGGCGGUGGCAGCGCCGCGCGGGAGGGGCGGGCAGCGGGCGCAGUUUUCCGCCCCUCGGUCUCCGGGUAACAGCUGCGGCUCCGCCAGACCCGGGGAGAGGCCGCUGCGCGCGGAGCCCGAGCCCGGAGCGGCCGGCGCCCGCCUCGGCGCGCACAUCCCGCGGGGCCCGGCCGGGUGACUAUGUAUCCGUGAGCGUGGAGCUCAGAUUUGGCGCCGUUGUGAUCGCCAAAACUUCCCUCUCUUUCUAUGACUGUGUGGCGGUCACUGAACUCCGCCCAUCUGCGCAGUGAGUUCCUCGCCCUGUCCCCAGGCCUGGGCUUCCCUGUGGCGACCCCUGCCCCAUGGCUGUGCUCUGUGCAGGUGCCAGGCCUGUGUGAGCAGCCGCUGGGAGUGUAACUGGUGUGUCUGGCAGCACCUGUGCACCCACAAGGCCUCGUGUGAUGCUGGGCCCAUGGUUGCAAGCCAUCAGAGCCCGCUUGUCUCCCCAGACCCUCCUGCAAGAGGUGGACCCAGCCCCUCCCCACCCACAGCCCCCAAAGCCCUGGCCACCCCUGCUCCUGACACCCUUCCCGUGGAGCCUGGGGCUCCCUCCACAGCCACAGCUUCGGACAUCUCACCUGGGGCUAGUCCUUCCCUGCUCAGCCCCUG
rnacentral:sRNA from 1 species